GGAAAGAUCAAAACCUAUACCUACAAAUAUACAGAAAUGAAAAGUACAUGCAUAAAUCCUAGAACACAUGCAUGAUUCAAUAUACACAAUUGUUUUAUGGUCUGACAUUUUGCAGAAUUAGACAUAUAUAAUCAAAAUAUGAAAAAUGAGCCAUACUGAAUAGGAAUUAAGAAACUUAAAAAAGAAUACAGAAAAUGUCUGAGAUUUAAGCAUCUUAAAAUCAGAUAGGAAUUUUCUACAGUCUGCCAUUUGUAUACAAAUUGUGCAGUUAUAAAAGUACCAUAGUAGAAAUAACAAAUAUAUGGGGAGGGUGUUAAGUUAUUAAGUUUCUUUUAUUUAGUUUCUGUCACGUACUAAUAAAUUCCUGUUUUAUAAGAGUGAAAUAGUCUUAGGUGGUUACGUGGUUAUACGUGCCUAUUUUAGUGCAUUGCAGUAUGGCAUUUUCAGUUUUCCAGUUAGUGUAAAGGCUUAUAAAAGCCACCUCUGUUUAUUGAAUAAUACAUUCUCUUAUUCUGCAUCAUCUUGUGUAUUAUAUACCCUGAGUAUUAACCAUUGGUAUCAGAGCUCCGUAAAGGGGCCUGGUACAGAGUGUGAGUCUAGAGUGCUGUGAGAGAACCACAAAACAUUCAAGUGUGAGAAUACAGUACGUGUAAAAGGAUGUCAGCAGAGAAGUUCAUGCAACCGGCCAUACCAAGGUUUGAUGGCCAUUAUGACUUUUGGUCCAUGACAAUGGAGAACUUCUUACGUAGCAAAGAAUUGUGGCAGCUCAUAGAAGAGGGCGUACCAGUGAUUGCAGCCACACCCACUGAGGAACAACGUAAGAGUGUGGCUGAGGCCAAUCUAAGGGAUCUGAAGGUAAGAAAUUACCUAUUCCAAGCUAUUGAUCGGGAGAUCUUGGAAACCAUAUUAGACAAAAGUACGUCACAGGCAAUUUGGCAAUCCAUGCAGAAGAAAUAUCAAGGCUCAAUGAGAGUGAAACGUGCUCGUCUUCAAGCACUACGUCGUGAGUUCGAGCUUUUAAACAUGAAAGAAGAGGAGAAAGUGGAUGCGUAUCUAGGACACACACUUAGUAUAGUUAACAAAAUGAAAUCAAACAGUGAGAAAGUAGAUUCUAGCACAGUGGUUAGCAAGAUACUUCGAUCGCUAAUUGCAAAAUUCAAUUACGUGGUGUGUUCUAUUGAGGAGUCUAACGAUUUAAGCAUUCUCAGCAUUGAUGAACUUCAUGGCAGUUUGCUUGUCCAUGAACAGAGAAUGCAAAGUCUUCAACCAGAGGAACAAGUGUUGAAAAUGACUCAUGAUGACCGAUCUGGAAUAGGCCGUGAUCGUGGUCGUGGAUACUGUCGUGGCCGUGGGAGAGGUCGAGGACAACAACCAUUAAAUUGAGCACUCAUUGAAUGCUUUCACUAUCACAAGCUCGGCCAUUUUCAGUAUGAAUGUCCCGAAUCUGGAAACAAGGCCCACUAUGCAACAUUUGAAGAAUCAAAAGAAGCAGAAGAUGAGCUAUUAGUAGCAACAUAUGAGGAGAUGCCAAAACCUGUCCAAGAGGAAGAUUGGUUCUUGGAUUCCGGCUGUAGCAACCACAUGACCGGAAACAAGCUUUGGUUUUCAGAAGUGAGAGAAGAGGAAUUUAAUCGGUCUGUUAAACUCGGAAAUAACACAACAAUGGCUGUCACUGCGAAAGGUAGCAUUCAGAUUCAAAUUAAUGGCACCUCGCAUGUCAUCACUGACGUUUACUAUGUCCCAGAACUUAAGACAAAUCUCUUAAGUCUAGGGCAACUUCAAGAGAAAGGUUUGGCUGUGCUAUUUCAAAAUAAUACGUGUAAAAUAUAUCAUCCAGAUCGAGGACUGAUUCUUCACACCAACAUGAAAGGCAACCGAAUGUUUUAUCUGACAGCUUCAAUGAUUACUCAACCUCUCAGAUGCCUUCAAACUGAGGAUGCUUCAGACAGGGAGACACAAUUAUGGCACAGACGUUUUGGGCAUUAAACAUACUUGCGAGUAAGCAAAUGGUGAUCGGUCUACCGCAAAUGAAACUUCCUCAAACUCUAUGCACUACCUGUCUUGUGGGCAAGCAACAUAAAGAUAAUAUACCAAUGCAAAGCUCAUGGAGAGCUUCAGCAAAACUUCAGUUAAUUCAUGCCGAUGUAUGUGGUCCGAUCUCGCCUUCUUCACACAGCAACAAAAGGUACAUAUUAAAUUUCAUUGACGAUUACUCAAGAAAAACUUGGGUCUAUUUCUUACACGAAAAAUCCAAGACUUUCACUGCAUUCAAGAGCUUUAAAGCAUGUGUUGAGAAGGAAGCCAACACCCACAUUAUCUGUCUCAGAACAGAUCGUGGUGGUGAAUUCAUAUCCAAGGAGUUUGAGAAUUUUUGCACUCAACAAGGCAUCACUAAGCAAUUGACAACUGCCUACACUCCUCAACAAAAUGGAGUCGCAGAAUGCAAGAAUCGCACCAUCAUGAACGUUGUACGAGCUGUGUUACACGACAAACAGGUCCCAAAAUCCUUUUGGCCUGAAGCGGUGCGUUGGUGCAUACAUGUUCAAAACAGAAGUCCCACUUUUGCCCUUAAUCAGCGAACCCCAUAGGAGAUAUGGAGCGGAAUCAAACCACGAGUUGACUAUUUUCGAACAUUUGGUUGCAUUGCUCAUGUGCACAUUCCAAAUCAAAAGAGAAGCAAACUUGAUGAUAAAAGCCACCCGUGUAUUUUGUUGGGCAUAAGUGACGAAUCUAAAGCAUACAAACUAUUCGAUCCUAUCAUGAAGCGUGUGAUCGUGAGUAGAGACGUGGUGUUCAAAGAAGAUAAAAGUUGGAAUUGGAACGAGAACAUAGAAAGGAGCAAAACUGCAAUUCUAGAUUGGGAAAAUGAAGUAGAAAAUGAAGCAGUCAUAGUAGACCCAAUGAAUGAAAAUGCAGAAAAUGAAGCAGUCACAGUGGACCCAGUGAACGAACAUGCAGAGUCUACAUCACAUGAAAUACCAACUAGUAAUAACGAAGUGCACAGACCAGCUUCCAAUUCAGAACACGUUGAUUCCGCAACAGAAGUCUUGGGCCCAAGAUCACGAAGACAACCAGCAUGGCUGUCUGAUUACGAGACCACUUUUUCAGUAGAAGAAGAAAAUUUACUAGCAUUGAUGAUGACUGAGUCUAGAGAUCCCCAGUCAUUCAAAGAGGAGUGCACAAAUCAACAAUGGAGAAAGGCUAUGGAUGCAAAGAUGAAAGCAAUAGAAAAGAAUCAUAUGUGGGAACUUGUGAAUCCACCAGAGGGAGUAACACCCAUUGGUGUCAAGUGGAUUUUUAAGACCAAGUUUAAUGAAAGUGGCCACAUAGAGAAGUAUAAGGCUAGACUAGUGGCCAAAGGGUAUGCUCAACAUUUUGGAAUAGAUUAUACUGAAGUUUUUGCUCCAGUGGCAAGACUUGACACCGUGAGAUUGAUAUUAGCUCUAGCAGCUCAAAAUGCAUGGGAAGUAAUGCAACUUGACGUCAAAAGCGCGUUCUUACAUGAUGAGCUCCUGGAAGAAGUAUAUGUCCAACAACCUGAAGGUUUCAUCAAGAAAGGAAAAGAAGAUCACAUAUAUCGUCUCAACAAAACACUAUAUGGACUUAAACAAGCUCCAAGAGCUUGGUAUAGCAAGAUCGAAGCUUACUUUGCAAAAGAACACUUUGAACGAUGCUCGAGGCUCGAGUGAACACACCUUGUUCACAAAAAGGACUCACGGUAACAUUUUAAUUGUCAGUAUCUAUGUUGACGAUUUGAUUUUCAUUAGCAAUAGCAAAUCUAUGUGUGACAAGUUUAAAAACUCAAUGAAGGCAGAGUUUGAUAUGACUGACUUAGGCAAAAUGAGACAUUUCCUUGGAAUCGAAGUUGUACAAAGAAACACAGGAAUCUUCAUUUGUCAAAGACAAUAUGCUCAUGAUGUACUAGCUCGCUUCAACAUGACUGAAAGCAACUCGGUGCGAAAUCCAAUGGUUCCAGGCACAAUACUCUCCAAGGAUAUUGAAGGUGUUGCAGUAGACGCUACCAAAUUCAAACAAGUCGUUGGGAGCCUCAUGUAUCUAACAAUGACCCGGCCAGAUUAAUGUUUGGAGUAAGUUUAAUUAGUCGAUACAUGGAAAAUCCAAAAGAGUCACAUUGGGCUGCAGCAAAACGUCUAUUAAGAUACCUCAAAGGAACUCUUGAAUAUGGUAUAUUCUAUCAAAGGAAAACAAAAACUGGUCCCAUAGCUUAUAGUGACAGCAAUUAUGCAGGUGAUUUAGAUGAUAGAAGAAGCACAUCUGGAGCAGUUUUUCUAAUUGGAAAUGGAGCAGUUUUGUGGAUAUCUAAAAAGCAGCCUGUGGUAACCCUAUCCACCACCGAGGCUGAAUACAUUGUCGCAGCAUCUUGUGCCUACCAGUGUAUUUGGAUUCAAAGAAUUUUGGAGCAUCUUGGUUCAGCAAAAAAGGAAGCAAUUGAAGUUUUAUGUGACAACAAUUCUACCAUUCAAUUAUCCAAAAAUCAUGUCUUUCAUGGAAGGAGCAAGCAUAUAGGAGUCAGAUUUCAUUUUCUAAGAGACUUGGUUAAUGAUCAAGUAGUUCGUUUAACAUACUGUUGUUCCAAUGAGCAAGUAGCUGACAUAAUGACUAAAGCAUUGAAGCUUGACCAGUUUGAAAAAAUUCGACACAUGCUUGGAGUAAUUGCAGUCACUGAAAUAAGCUAAUUUAGCUUACAGGAAGAAAUGUUAAGUUAUUAAGUUUCUUUUAUUUAGUUUCUGUCACAUACUAAUAAAUUCUUGUUUUAUAGGAGUGAAAUAGUCUUAGGUGGUUACGUGGUUAUACGUGCCUAUUUUAGUGCAUUGCAGUAUGGCAUUUUCAGUUUUCCAGUUAGUGUAAAGGCUUAUAAAAGCCACCUCUGUUUAUUGAAUAAUACAUUCUCUCAUUCUGCAUCAUCUUGUGUAUUAUAUACCUUGAGUAUUAACAGAGGGGGCAUGAGAUAGUAAAGCAAACUAAACUCCAGGUUCCAAUGAAAAAGUUAUGGUGUUUCUCAUAAAUAAUCACGAAGUUAUACUUGGAGAAAAUGAAAUUUGAAAUGAUAUUUUGAAAAAUAUUCUGGGCAUUAUGCAUUUCCAGGGAAAAGACUAUAUCGUGUCGUGCUUAAUUAUUGUUAAUUACAUGAUGAGAGGUGCCGCUUUCUCAUGGCAAGGGAAACAAGGAUGGAAAUAACCUUACAACCCAACUAUUAACAUUCACUCACUAGUUUCUAUCACAUACUUUCAAUCAUCAACAGAAUUUUGAAAAUCAUUUCAGAAAAUGUUAAAUGUUAACCAAGCACGCCUUUUAAUUCUACAAAAUGCCAUUUUCGGGGGAAUAUAAUCACAUACCUUGUAAAACAAUAAUUUUCACCAGUCCAGUCAGCAAAAAAGAAUAUGGAGAUAGACCAAAUAUAAGAGUAUAAACAAGAUCAAACAACAUGUAUACUAACCCACCCAAAUUUCUCUCCUCAGGACAACUAAAGCUAGAGUGGUUUCUCACAACACUACACAGACAUGCACUGACUCAACAGAAGCCUGUAAAAAGGGCCACUGGAAAAUGAGAAAAACUUAGAAAUUGUACCCUACAGAGUAACUCACACCACAAUAUAUUGAAAACAGAAUAAAUUGAUUAUGCGUCGAAGUUAUCGAUCUCAUAGCAGUGCAUUACGGCUAACUCUGAAAACGCUAGCAGGAUUGCUGGAAGCAGGAUGAGCAAUAUUUUAAAUAUUAUAAUAAUGUAAACUAAAAAAUUUAUACUACACAUAAUAAAAAAGGAAGCAAUAAUCCCUAAUUUAAAGGAAUUUAUGAUGAAAAAUCCAAACACAAUCCCCACCAAUCUAGGAGAAAUUAGUGAAAAUAAUAGAAAAAAACAUAACAAAUUAGGAAAAAACUAUGAAAGUCAAAAGGAAUAAGAAAAAAAAGAACAAUGGAUAAAACAUAUAGUUCUAUGGAGUAUGAACUAAGAAGGAAUAAAGGUUCAGACCGAGGUAACUUUUUUUGUGAAUUGUUUACCAAAAAAUACCCAGAUAAAAAAAUAGUUAUUGAACUACUGAAAACUGCUCCGCUAUUUGAGUCCAGUAGCAGCGGUGGGCUGCUUUGCUUCACUACCCCACAAUUGCCUUAGUAUAGCACACUGUUGACUAUUGUAUUAAACAAGCACAAAAUUAAAUUGAUUACACAUGACGAUUUACACUUGCAUUUGUUUGAAAGCAUUUCUAACAAUUUCUCCCACAAACAAGUUUUCAAUAAUGCACUUCCAACAUAUAGGAUAAUUCAUAAUAGAUAAUAAAUGCAAUUUUGGCCGAAUGAAGAUGAAACAAAGAUUCCACCGCAUAAAGCAUAGACCAUUUAG
rnacentral:lncRNA from 1 species